CUACGUGCCAGCAGCCGCGGUAAUACGGAAGGUCCAGGCGUUAUCCGGAUUUAUUGGGUUUAAAGGGAGCGUAGGCUGGAGAUUAAGUGUGUUGUGAAAUGUAGACGCUCAACGUCUGAAUUGCAGCGCAUACUGGUUUCCUUGAGUACGCACAACGUUGGCGGAAUUCGUCGUGUAGCGGUGAAAUGCUUAGAUAUGACGAAGAACUCCGAUUGCGAAGGCAGCUGACGGGAGUGCAACUGACGCUUAAGCUCGAAGGUGCGGGUAUCAAACAGGAUUAGAUACCCUGGUAGUCCGCACAGUAAACGAUGGAUGCCCGCUGUUGGUACCUGGUAUCAGCGGCUAAGCGAAAGCAUUAAGCAUCCCACCUGGGGAGUACGCCGGCAACGGUGAAACUCAAAGGAAUUGACGGGGGCCCGCACAAGCGGAGGAACAUGUGGUUUAAUUCGAUGAUACGCGAGGAACCUUACCCGGGCUUGAA
rnacentral:rRNA from 1 species